UACGGAGGGAGCUAGCGUUGUUCGGAAUUAUUGGGCGUAAAGAGCUCGUAGGCGGUGUGUCACGUCGGCCGUGAAAACCUGGGGCUUAACUCUGGGCGUGCGGUCGAUACGGGCAGACUAGAGGUAUGCAGGGGAGAACGGAAUUCCUGGUGUAGCGGUGAAAUGCGCAGAUAUCAGGAGGAACACCGGUGGCGAAGGCGGGUCUCUGGGCCGUAACUGACGCUGAGGAGCGAAAGCGUGGGGAGCGAACAGG
rnacentral:rRNA from 1 species